rnacentral:rRNA from 1 species
CCUACGGGGGGCUGCAGUGGGGAAUAUUGGACAAUGGGGGCAACCCUGAUCCAGCCAUGCCGCGUGUGUGAAGAAGGCCCUCGGGUUGUAAAGCACUUUCAGUGAGGAAGAACGCCUGGUGGUUAAUACCCAUCAGGAAAGACAUCACUCACAGAAGAAGCACCGGCUAACUCCGUGCCAGCAGCCGCGGUAAUACGGAGGGUGCGAGCGUUAAUCGGAAUUACUGGGCGUAAAGCGCGCGUAGGUGGCUUGAUAAGCCGGUUGUGAAAGCCCCGGGCUCAACCUGGGAACGGCAUCCGGAACUGUCAAGCUAGAGUGCAGGAGAGGAAGGUAGAAUUCCCGGUGGAGCGGUGAAAUGCGUAGAGAUCGGGAGGAAUACCAGUGGCGAAGGCGGCCUUCUGGACUGACACUGACACUGAGGUGCGAAAGCGUGGGUAGCAAACAGGAUUAGAUACCCCGGUAGUC